ACUGAAUAGAUACCCGGGUAGUCCACGCCGUAAACGAUGGAUGCUAGCUGUUAUAGGUAUCGACCCCUGUAGUAGCGAAAGCUAACGCGUUAAGCAUCCCGCCUGUGGAGUACGGUCGCAAGACUAAAACAUAAAGGAAUUGACGGGGACCCGCACAAGCGGUGGAGCGUGUUGUUUAAUUCGAUGGUAAACGAAGAACCUUACCCAGGUUUGACAUCCUUGGAAUUUCUCCGAAAGGAGAGAGUGCUUUAUUGAGCCAAGUGACAGGUGAUGCAUGGCCGUCGUCAGCUCGUGUCGUGAGAUGUUUGGUUAAGUCCAUCAACGAGCGCAACCCUUGUGAUUAGUUGAAUUUUUCUAAUCAGACUGCCCUGGUAACAGGGAGGAAGGAGGGGAUGAUGUCAGGUCAGUAUUUCCCUUACAUCUGGGGCUACAAACACGCUACAAUGGCCGGUACAAAGGGCAGCCAAGUCGCGAGACGGAGCAAAUCCCAUCAAAGCCGGUCUCAGUUCGGAUUGCAGGCUGAAACUCGCCUGC
rnacentral:rRNA from 1 species